rnacentral:rRNA from 1 species
CCUACGGGGUGCAGCAGUAGGGAAUCUUCCACAAUGAGCGAAAGCCUGAUGCAGCAACGCCGCGUGGGUGAAGAAGGUCUUCGGAUCGUACAACCCUGUUGUUAGAGAAGAAAGUGCGUGAGAGUAACUGUUCACGUUUCGACGGUAUCUAACCAGAAAGCCACGGCUAACUCCGUGCCAGCAGCCGCGGUAAUACGUAGGUGGCAAGCGUUAUCCGGAUUUAUUGGGCGUAAAGGGAACGCAGGCGGUCUUUUACGUCUGAUGUGAAAGCCUUAGGCUUAACCGGGGUAGUGCAUUUGAAACUGGGAGACUUGAGUGCAGAAGAGGGGAGUGGAACUCCAUGUGUAGCGGUGAAAUGCGUAGAUAUCUGGAAGAACACCAGUGGCGAAAGCGGCUCUCUGGUCUGUGACUGACGCUGAGGUUCGAAAGCGUGGGUAGCAAACAGGAUUAGAUACCCGGGUAGUC